rnacentral:rRNA from 1 species
UACGGGGGAUGCAAGCGUUAUCCGGAAUUAUUGGGUUUAAAGGGUCCGUAGGCGGGCCGAUAAGUCAGGGGUGAAAGUCUGCCGCUCAACGGUAGAACUGCCUUUGAUACUGUCGGUCUUGAGUUAUAGUGAAGUUGCCGGAAUAUGUAGUGUAGCGGUGAAAUGCAUAGAUAUUACAUAGAACACCGAUUGCGAAGGCAGGUGACUAACUAUAUACUGACGCUGAUGGACGAAAGCGUGGGGAGCGAACAGG